rnacentral:tRNA from 2 species
CGGAAUAUAGGCUAGCUUGGUAAGUCACUCCGUCUGGGCCGGAGAGAGCGUUGGUUCAAAUCCAACUAUUCCGA